rnacentral:rRNA from 1 species
GAUGAACGCUGGCGGCGUGCCUAAUACAUGCAAGUCGAGCGAAGCGGGGACGGGGGUGUAACACGUGGAUAACAUCCUAUAAGACUGGGAUAACUUCGGGAAACCGGAGCUAAACCGGAUACUUAGAGAUGGAUCCGCGCGGCAUUGGCUGGUUGGUAAGGUAACGGCUUACAAAGGCAACGAUGCAUAGCCGACCUGAGAGGGUGAGCGGCAACCAUGGAACUGAGACACGGUCCAGACGCCGACGGGAGGCAGCAGUAGGGAAUCUUCCGCAAUGGGCGAAAGCCUGAUGGAGCAACGCCGCGUGAGUGAAGAAGGUCUUCGGAUCGGAAAACUCUGUUAUUAGGGAAGCGGUACCUAAUCAGAAAGCCACGGCUAACUACGUGCCAGCAGCCGCGGUAAUAC